GACGAACCGUGCGAACGUUGUUCGGAAUCACUGGGCUUAAAGGGCGCGUAGGCGGGCGACAUAGUUGGGGGUGAAAUCUUUCGGCUCAACCGGAAAAUAGCCUUCGAUACUGGUCGUCUGGAGGGGGGUAGGGGCGUGUGGAACUUCCGGUGGAGCGGUGAAAUGCGUUGAUAUCGGAAGGAACUCCGGUGGCGAAGGCGGCAUACUGGACCACAUCUGACGCUGAGGCGCGAAAGCCAGGGGAGCGAACGGG
rnacentral:rRNA from 1 species